rnacentral:lncRNA from 1 species
ACUGGGAAGAAGAAAAUGGAAAAUGAACUUUUAUGAACAGGAAGGGAGGAACAUCCCAAGACAGGCUACGCUUGCUUAUGAUGUCACUGAUUGUUACAAAGGAAUCAAACCUGACCUCAGGUAGCCAAAGUGAAUGCCUGCCAGUUUUGAAAUCCGUUGGAAAAAAAUGGAGCAGUCAAAAACGCAGGGACACGGGGACAACGAAAUAAAUCUGACGUUUGUAGUAGGCCGGCCGCAGGAAACAGGGAAAGAAGAGGUGACGCUUGGAUACGAACAGCAUCGGAUCCCGACCUCGCCACACCUAUGGGCCCUGGAGAUGCUACACCCCUGCCCGGUCGGUGAACUAGCUCAGCUAGGAGGCAGACAACACGCCGGCUUCCUCCCCGGGUGUUCCUCUCAGGUCCUGCUCGCUCUCCGCCCGCUCCCUCUCCGCCGAAGAUCCCAUUGCGAGCGUGGCUCCGGGGUCCAUGCUCGAUUCCAGGGAGAUGUAAAGCGGCCAUGGAGACAGCUGGAAGAGCUAAGGUCACGGCCGGCGCGGCCUUACCACCCACCUUCAUCGUAGUUAUAUCCCCGGACGUUCCGAUGCCGGGCCAUCGCGCACAGACGGCGCCUGCCGCCGUCCCUUCCAGAAAAACUCGGCUCAGAAACCGACGAGGCGCAGACCGCGGGCGGAACACCUCUGCCGCGCCAUCUUGUCUUCCGCCAGGCCUCUGCGCCGAGCGUCCGCGCAUGCGCGACGUCAUACCUGCGCACUUGGCGACGGCAAGCUCUCGGGGUCACUGCGGGCCUCCCGGGAACGCGUGCGCGCUCGCGAACUGGCGGGGGGGGGGGGGGGGCGAGGUCCCGCCCACAAGCGAAUUGACUGACGUGGACUUCAAGGCCAGAAAUGAAGCAACCAGAGGGUUGUUGAGCGGGAUCCUUCACCUACACCGGUUUUCAGGAUUAUUUCCCAACUUUGGUUUUUGAUCAUCUGAAAAGCUGCCUAUUUCGCUCAGUAAAAACAAGGACUUUGUUUCAGCUUUUAAGCCUUAGUAAACACUAUAGGCAAUCAAUAAACGUGUAAAUUUGGCAUAAUAAUUAGUCCAAGCUGUAGAGGGAACUUUUUGAAUGAGUAAUUUUAGCUUUGAAAUGUAGCCACACUGGGUCAAUAUGCUUCGCAUGUAACUCAUGGCUUCAGGUAUGGGCUCCAUAUUAAAUUCAUUAACAGCUCUGGUAAACAACUGUCUGACCUUAGGAAAGAAUUCCACUGUGUAGAAGUGUAGGAGGAAGUGCCGGCAUGACCGGACAGCCAGCCUCCUUGGAGUACUGCACUUCUGAGAAGCACGGCACACCACACACCUAAAGUCAGAACACUGGAUUCUCAGGAAGCGUGAAUAGCUGGUGUCUGUCCUGUGAAGAGUCUGCACUCUCCGUUUCACCUCUGUGUGCAUCUUCUGCAGAGAGACCCUGGUGGUAUGAGUGUUUACUAUCCAGUCAAGGGUAAUGUGCCAACCAAUCACAGGACACAGCCCCAGCCCCACCCCCACGCCCUAUUUAAGUGGUUGCUUGAGUGCACCAAAGCAGACGCUAUUCCUUUAAACUGUCUCCACAGUGGUUUAUCUCUGUGCCCUUUAGCAACCCAUGGCCAUUGCUCUCUUGUGAGGGAUGCCCCAGUAAUGAAAGCAUAGAGAAAUCACAAUUUGUGUGUCUUCCAUUAGUCUAUUGAAACCCACUUUAGUUGUUUCCAGUGUUGACUACGACAAAUAAGACGCUAUGAGUAUUCAUAACAAAUAUUUGCAUGAAAAUAACAUC